GACGAACGCUGGCGGCGUGCUUAACACAUGCAAGUCGAACGGAAAGGCCCGCUUGCGGGUACUCGAGUGGCGAACGGGUGAGUAACACGUGGGCAACCUGCCCUCAGCUCUGGGAUAACUCCGGGAAACCGGUGCUAAUACUGGAUAUCGACUUCUGCCUCGCAUGGGGUGUUGUUGAAAGUUUUUCGGCUGGGGAUGGGCCCGCGGCCUAUCAGCUUGUUGGUGGGGUGAUGGCCUACCAAGGCGACGACGGGUAGCCGGCCUGAGAGGGCGACCGGCCACACUGGGACUGAGACACGGCCCAGACUCCUACGGGAGGCAGCAGUGGGGAAUAUUGCGCAAUGGGCGGAAGCCUGACGCAGCGACGCCGCGUGAGGGAUGACGGCCUUCGGGUUGUAAACCUCUUUCAGCUCUGACGAAGCGAGAGUGACGGUAGGAGCAGAAGAAGCACCGGCCAACUACGUGCCAGCCGCCGCCGUAACAC
rnacentral:rRNA from 1 species